rnacentral:tRNA from 1 species
GGCCGGUUGGCUUAAUGGUAAAGCGCCAGUUUCCGGCAAUGGCCGCAGCUGGAGAUUGCAUGUUCGAGUCCUGCAUCGGUCG